rnacentral:rRNA from 1 species
GAUGAACGCUGGCGGCGUGCCUAAUACAUGCAAGUCGAGCGAACGGACGAUAAGCUUGCUUCUCUGAUGUUAGCGGCGGACGGGUGAGUAACACGUGGAUAACCUACCUAUAAGACUGGGAUAACUUCGGGAAACCGGAGCUAAUACCGGAUAAUAUUUUGAACCACAUGGUUCAAUAGUGAAAGACGGUCUUGCUGUCACUUAUAGAUGUAUCCGCGUUGCAUUAGCUAGUUGGUAAGGUAAUGGCUUACCAAGGCAACGAUGCAUAGCCGACCUGAGAGGGUGAUCGGCCACACUGGAACUGAGACACGGUCCAGACUCCUACGGGAGGCAGCAGUAGGGAAUCUUCCGCAAUGGGCGAAAGCCUGACGGAGCAACGCCGCGUGAGUGAUGAAGGUCUUCGGAUCGUAAAACUCUGUUAUUAGGGAAGAACAUAUGUGUAAGUAACUGUGCACAUCUUGACGGUACCUAAUCAGAAAGCCACGGCUAACUACGUG